UACGGAGGGUGCGAGCGUUGUCCGGAAUCACUGGGCGUAAAGGGCGCGUAGGCGGCUUUGUAAGGGUGCGGUGAAAGCCCGGGGCUUACCCCCGGGUCGGCCGUGCCGACUGCAAGGCUUGGGCACUGUAGAGGCAGGCGGAAUUCCGGGUGUAGCGGUGGAAUGCGUAGAGAUCCGGAAGAACACCGGUGGCGAAGGCGGCCUGCUGGGCAGUUGCUGACGCUGAGGCGCGACAGCGUGGGGAGCAAACAGG
rnacentral:rRNA from 2 species